rnacentral:rRNA from 1 species
GUGGGGAAUCUUGCGCAAUGGGCGAAAGCCUGACGCAGCCAUGCCGCGUGAAUGAUGAAGGUCUUAGGAUUGUAAAAUUCUUUCACCGGGGACGAUAAUGACGGUACCCGGAGAAGAAGCUCCGGCUAACUUCGUGCCAGCAGCCGCGGUAAUACGAAGGGGGCUAGCGUUGCUCGGAAUUACUGGGCGUAAAGGGCGCGUAGGCGGACAGCUUAGUCAGAGGUGAAAGCCCAGGGCUCAACCUUGGAAUUGCCUUUGAUACUGGCUGUCUUGAGUUUGGGAGAGGUGAGUGUAACUCCGAGUGUAGAGGUGAAAUUCGUAGAUAUUCGGAAGAACACCAGUGGCGAAGGCGACUCACUGGCCCAAUACUGACGCUGAGGCGCGAAAGCGUGGGGAGCAAACAGGAUUAGAUACCCGGGUAGUCC